GUGGGUGUGUGGCUCAGCUGAUACUGACUAUCAUCAUCAUCAUCCUCCUCCUCAUCAACACCCGAGAACUGCUCCUGUCAAGAUACACGCCGCUCGGUUUUAUGGACGCGACGCGACGCGACCGGCACGGUGAAUGAACGCGGCUGACGUGACGCGCGUCGCUGUCCGCGGUGCUGAAACAUGUGUGUCUGGAGGUCGGGCAGCUGUGACGGCCCAUGUGGAGGCUCGCGGCGCUGAGUGACGCUCUGGUUCCCCAGCAUGGGCAGUGUAGGCAGCGGAGUGGCCGGUGAGCAGGAGUUUGCCAUGAAGAGCGUGGGCACACGCACCACCCUCCCUCGUGGCCCUCCUCUGUCCCGUCUCCACGCGCCUCCAUCCGCCUCGGACGGCUCCAACGACAGCACCGCCACGGAUCGAGGCCAGCUCAACAUCGCAUCGUCUCGGCCCGGCAACGGGGACAAGGCCGCACACAGAUCCGGUGUGUCUCUGGAUGCUUGCGGUAACGUGGUGGGUCACGGCGCGGAGAAGCACCACGAGGUAAAGGGCAGAGACAGGAACAACAGCAAGAGAGACAGUCGCACGCCACCCAAGAUCCUCACUGUGUCCGGCAAACUCGAGCAGAAUAACUCUGCUCUGGUCCGGCCGUCUGCCUUCAAACCCGUGGUGCCCAAGAGUUUUCACUCCAUGCAGAACCUGCUCGGUCAGUCCAGUGGAGGACGAUCUGCAGGCUCCGACGCUCCACAGUCCCUCUGUGAGCAGGACAGUCCGGAUCGGGACCCUUCGGCUGGAAACGACGGCCCGGCCGGCAUGACCGACUCUGGGAGGAACUCGCUGACCAGCCUGCCCACCAUGAGCUACGGCCCCGCUCAAGCGCUCGGGCCCCUCAGCGCCUCCACCAGCCACAUCAACAGGCUGAGCAGCACAGCGGCGCCGCUGGAGAAACCAGACAAACCCAGCUAUCAGAACGGCCUGAGCGUGUCCGACAGCGGACAGUCCUCCUCCGGGAAGAGCUGCUUAUCCUAUCAGAGACUGUGUCAUCUGACGGACACCAGCGCCACCGUCCAGCCAUCGCCCUCCACCGACGACAUUAUCCAGGACCUGGAGGACCGACUCUGGGAGAAAGAGCAGGAGGUGAUCCACAUGCGGCGUAACCUGGACCAGAGCGAGGCGGCCAUCGUGCAGGUGUUCGAGGAGAAGCAGCGCGUCUGGGAGCGAGAGAUGGAGGAGCUGAGGCAGAACUACGCCGGCCGUCUGCAGCAGGUGUCCCACCGGGCCCAGCGCACACAGCAGGCCCUGCAGACCCACAUCGCCCGUCUGCAGCAGGACAAGGGCCGACUCCAGGAGGAGAUCAGCGCCCUGCUCGCACAGAGAGAGGAGCUGGAGCGCAAGUGUCUGGAUUACCGCAAGGAGCAGGCGGAUAUUCUGCCUCGUCUGGAGGAGACCAAGUGGGAGCUGUGUCAGAAAGCGGGUGAGAUCUCUCUGCUGAAGCAGCAGCUGCGGGAGAGUCAGAACGAGGUAACGCAGCGGGCCGGAGAGAUGGUGGCCCUCAGGGGUCAGCUGAAGGAGCUCAACGCCCAGAUGAAGGAGCGCGAGGAGACCAUGAUCGGCCUGAAGGACUCGUACACCAACAAGAGCCGCGAGCUGGAGAGAUGUGAAGGAGAACUGAAGAGAACGCUGACAGAGGUGUCGAUGUUGCGUGACAAGCUGGUGGUGUUCGAGGCGGAGGUUCUGGGUCUCAAGCGGGCUCUGAGCGAGCUGAGCUGCAGGAACGAUCACGGCGUGUGUCUGAGGGACAUCAGCGGCAGCAGCAGCUUACCCUGGGCCGGCCUGCACUCGCCCCGAACGCCCGAAGCCCUGCCCCUCGACAGCUUCCUCAGCCUGCAGAGCGACGAGGCCAAAGCGCAGCGGCAGGAGGCCGGAGAGCUGCGGCGGCAGCUGGAGCGACUGCAGGGCGAGCUGUGUCUGGAGCGGCAGCAGAGAGAGCGGCAGGCGCUCACCUUCGCUCAGGAGCGACACACCUGGCAGGGAGAGAAGGAGCGAGUGCUGAAGUACCAGGCGCAGCUGCAGAUCAGCUACGUGGAGACGCUGCAGAAGAACCAGGCGCUGGAGGAGCGGGUCGGUCAGCUCGGAGCCAAACUGGGCACCACGCCCGGAUCACCCGUCAGCCUCUCCAUCCCCGUCCUGGGCGAGAAAGAGCGUGUGCUGAAGUAUCAGGCGCUGGAGGAGCGGGUCGGAGCUAAACUGAGCACCAGGCCCGGAUCUCCCGUCGGUCUCUCCAUCCCCGUCCCGCUGACCGUCACUCUGUCCCCGACCGCCGGCGACCCCAAACCGCCCGCUCUGCAUCAGCUGGCGCCUCCGUGGCCCGGACCGACUCGCCUGGAGCGGAUCGAGUCCACGGAGAUUUAGACGCGAGACAAUCGACACGAGACUGUUCUGUGUGAAGACUAAAGAGGGCCGAGAUCAGCCUGUGUUACUGCAACAGAUGAAAGAAUAAUGCAGUUAUGAAUCAAAAGUGAUGCACAUUUCUCCAGCUUUCAAACCUUCUGACUCUCGUUUGGUCAUCAGUGAUAUGGAGGAGAAACGUUUCACUAGUCUGUGUGGGCCGUACGGUACCGGCGUUUGGAGGAUGCUGGGGAGCAUCGGUUCCCAUCACUGCUACUGUCUGCAGUGACUAAACGUGAACAGCAGGGGUCAUUAGACGACAAACAGAGGGCUCCUAUCUGCAGGUAGAAUUACUUGAAAAAAGAAAAGCUGUUUCUGUCUCAGUUUUUUCAUUUGGCUGAAAUUAAAACCCGAACCGAACUUGCUUUCCUUAUUCUACGGUGAUGUUUCUGGAAGGUUCUGAGAGUUGCUGCUAUGUUCUGAUGUGACGUCGCGGUGUGUUGUGGGUAGACAGGCAGGCUGUGAAAAUGAUGGUUAUUUAUGUGAAAUCGUUAUUUCCAGUAUACCAACAUAUUGCGUGUGAAUAUUUUGAGAAGAUGAAAAUUAUUGUUAUUUCAUCGUUCUGAUUAUCGUGAAUAAAGCCGAUAUUUUAGCUUUGUUUUUCUGUAACAUGUAACACUUUUCUCCGAUGAAAUGGUUCAAAUGCAUCAACGAUUUCCAAAACCAUAUUCCUUUUGAUGUAGUUCUGAUGUAAUUAUUUGAUUUGAUGAUGUAAUUCAUUGAUUUAGAGAUCAAAUGCUAUGUUUUUAUACUUCUAUUGUUUGUAUUUAUGUUACUGUAAUGAUUUGCGUAAAAGCAUAUCCGCUCAAAACACAUUAAAUGAUAAAGACACAAACCAAACAGCAUAGUCCUCUUUGAGAUGUUUGAUUAAAAAAUUAAAAAAUUAAAUAAAAAACAUCAUAGCUGUUAAUCCUAAAGCAGUGAAAACUAGUUUGACACACUAGCAGUUGCCAAGAGGUACUUUUCCAAUACAAAUAAGACCAAUCUACCUUUUCAUAACUUAAUUUAAAAAAGUUAUGACCAGUCUUGAAGAAAAGAAAAAAAAAAAUGAGUUGACUAACUUUUUAAGACUAGUCUAAACAGUUCAUGCAAUCGGCUCCUGAAUCAAAUGAUUCGCGAACUCGCUCAGAAGUUCCGAUUUGAAUCAAAUGAUUCGUUCCGAACUGAAUCAAAUGAUUCGUUCCGAUCUGAAUCAAAUGAUUCGCGAUACUCGAUUCGAUUGUAGCGUUUCGAAACAUUAAGUAAUUUUAACAGACUUUGCUUAAUAUUAAGUAAAUAUUUUUGCUGCAUAUUUUUGAGGAAUCUAU